rnacentral:rRNA from 1 species
UAAGUGAGGCUUUCGGACCGGCUCAGGGAGGUCGGCAACGACCACCCAGAGCUGGAAAGUUGUCCAAACUUGGUCAUUUAGAGGAAGUAAAAGUCGUAACAAGGUUUCCGUAGGUGAACCUGCGGAAGGAUCAUUAAUGAGAACGUGCCCUUCGGGGUAGAUCUCCCACCCUUUGUAUAUUAUACCUUUGUUGCCUUGGCAGGCCCGUCUUCGGACCGCUGGCUUCGGCUGGCCCGUGCCUGUCAGAGGACCCCAAACUCUUUUGUUAAUAUUGUCUGAGUACUAUUUUAAUAGUUAAAACUUUCAACAACGGAUCUCUUGGUUCUGGCAUCGAUGAAGAACGCAGCGAAAUGCGAUAAGUAAUGUGAAUUGCAGAAUUCAGUGAAUCAUCGAAUCUUUGAACGCACAUUGCGCCCUCUGGUAUUCCGGGGGGCAUGCCUGUUCGAGCGUCAUUACAACCCUCAAGCUCAGCUUGGUAUUGGGCCUCGCCGUCUGGCGGGCCUUAAAAUCAGUGGCGGUGCCGUCUGGCUCCAAGCGUAGUAAUUUUUCUCUCGCUUUCGGAGGCCGGCGUGUGCUUGCCAACAACCCCCAAUUUUUUCAGGUUGACCUCGGAUCAGGUAGGGAUACCCGCUGAACUUAAGCAUAUCAAUAAGCGGAGGAAAAGAAACCAACAGGGAUUGCCUCAGUAACGGCGAGUGAAGCGGCAACAGCUCAAAUUUGAAAUCUGGCCGCAAGGUCCGAGUUGUAAUUUGUAGAGGAUGUUUCGGGUGUGGUCCAGUCUAAGUUCCUUGGAACAGGACGUCAUAGAGGGUGAGAAUCCCGUAUGUGACUGGGUGCCUAAUCCCAUGUGAAACUCCUUCAACGAGUCGAGUUGUUUGGGAAUGCAGCUCAAAAUGGGUGGUAAAUUUCAUCUAAAGCUAAAUAUUGGCCAGAGACCGAUAGCGCACAAGUAGAGUGAUCGAAAGAUGAAAAGCACUUUGGAAAGAGAGUUAAACAGUACGUGAAAUUGUUGAAAGGGAAGCGCUUGCAACCAGACUUGCACACAGCCGAUCAUCCGGUGUUCUCACCGGUGCACUCGGUUGCGUUCAGGCCAGCAUCGGUUUUGGUGGCGGGAUAAAGGCCCUAGGAAUGUGGCUCCUCUCGGGGAGUGUUAUAGCCUAGGGUGCAAUGCCGCCUACCGGGACCGAGGACCGCGCUUCGGCUAGGAUGCUGGCGUAAUGGUUGUAAGCGACCCGUCUUGAAACACGGACCAAGGAGUCUAACAUCUAUGCGAGUGUUUGGGUGUCAAACCCAUACGCGUAAUGAAAGUGAACGGAGGUGAGAACCCUUAAGGGUGCAUCAUCGACCGAUCCUGAUGUCUUCGGAUGGAUUUGAGUAAGAGCAUAGCUGUUGGGACCCGAAAGAUGGUGAACUAUGCCUGAAUAGGGUGAAGCCAGAGGAAACUCUGGUGGAGGCUCGCAGCGGUUCUGACGUGCAAAUCGAUCGUCAAAUUUGGGUAUAGGGGCGAAAGACUA